CGGCCUGCGAGCACCCGCCCCUCGCGGGGGCCGGGCUGCGGGUCCGGGGGCGGGUGGUGUCGCCCCGGCCGAACCUCGGCCCCCUCCCCCACAGUCCCGACAGUCGCCGCCGCCAUUUUGACCGCCCGCCCCUUCCCUCAGGACUGUACUCAAGCGACAGGCGCUGCGCGGGCCCGGCCGCCCGCCCCAGCACGCCCAGCUUGCCGGGCGCUGCCCCGGUUACCUCGGCUUCUCCGCACUUGUGUCCGCGGAAGGCUUUGAGGAGGGACUCUAACUGGACAUGCAGCCGCUGGAUUGGCUAGACUGACUUUCCUGUGAGCCCCAUGAGUUCUGGAGUCUCUGCUUCCUCGGUGCUGGGAUCAGAGGCUCCUGACCAGACAUCAGGAUGUGGGAGAGAAAAUGGCAGAAGGUUGCACCCCGUGAGCUGCACUGGCAAAGGGGCAGCGAGCAGAUUAUUCAUCAGCCUUUUCCAGAUAGUGAG